rnacentral:lncRNA from 1 species
AAUUUAAAUCAGUUGCCUAACAAAAUAAUAAAGGGAUAAAUUUGCAUUCGAUAUUAUUAUUAUUGUUUCUCUUUUAAUUACCAAUAGAUUUUCCGGGUCUUCUUCCAUAAUUAAUGUUCUCGCCCGAGACUAGUACACGUUUCCUUUGAAAAGACUCAAAAAUACAAAAACUGUGUCAUAGAUACUGCAUUGUAUUAUUAAUUAUAUUAAUGUAAACUAUAUAUAAACUGUAUCAUA